rnacentral:snoRNA from 1 species
AGAUGAGACGAUGAAUGAUUAAUUUUCCAAUUGGUUUGAUUGGUCAACAUGAUGGCCUAAUUACUGAACGAAUCUGAUCAUCC